UCUCCCACUUGAUAACAAAACCACUAAACCCUCCUCGUUUCUCUACUUUCCUAAUCAGAAAAACCUAAGCAUCGUUUCCUUACAAAUCCUCCUCCUUCAAAGAGACCCUAUCCUCAAGGUCGGAGUUGAGCUACAAAUGUUGGGAACCUGCUCUGAAUGUAACCCCAAUCCUCCCACGUGGCAGCAUCAGGGCCCAAAUUAGCCCACUGAACCAAAACCUUAACCCCCAUUGCAUUAUUGACCUUUACCAUUCUUCGUUCGAGAAUCGCGAUGGGCUGCAUCAAAAUGUGACCGUCGGCAUCGCAAGCAGGUGGGUGUUGGUGUGCAACCAAGUCCGGCCCGAUACGUUGCUUUAGUUGAGACACAUGGAAGACCGGAUGGAUCUGCGAGUCUGGUCGAAGCCCUAAAUGGGGUAUGAGAUGAUCAUGAUUCCUCCUAGGAGGUAGGCUCUUUGGUUCAACAAAUACAUCUGGGAACCUGCUUACCACUUGGUGAAUCUCCUCAGGAAAUGAAUUAGGACUCUGCCUUCCCUGACAGAUGCAUCAUUGCAAUCUCAAGUUUUUGAUCUGGGUCGAAGAUGCGAUUGUACUGGAAGUACCUAUCAACCUUUCUCAACCACGAACAAGGAUCAACUCCAUCGAAAUAUGGAAACUCAAAUCUAGGGUGGUGAUCCCUAAGGUUCGAUGAUCUUGUAUACUCGUUCGCUUCUCCUCUUGCGUUUUUGCCGCCUGAAAGUUCCAUUUGACGAACUCUUCUAGGUGCACUACCUAGGAUUCCUUCCUGAGUUGGAGUUUGACUUGAAGAGAUGUUACCAGUUGCUUCUUCUCGGUUAUUGACCAAUUUUUCCAACAGAAAAUCCAUUUUUUACCUAGUUCUUCCAUUUUCGAGUCAUUAGACUCGAUGUAAGUUUGUAAUUGAGUAUCCAAUUUUUUUACCAACUCUUCAGUCAUUUUUUAUCGUGUUUCUGGGACUGUCAUAGUGGCCAGAAUGGGCUCUGAUACCAAUUGUAACGUACGUAGAUAACUGAAGAAUAAUUCGUAAUCGAAAUAGUAAUUUGAGAGCUAAA